rnacentral:misc_RNA from 1 species
UCCGACUUGACGUCGGCAGUCUCGUUAGAGUGCCCAACUGAAUGUGGCAACUAAUGGCAAGGGUUGCGCUCGUUGCGGGACUUAACCCAACAUCUCACGACACGAGCUGACGACAGCCAUGCAGCACCUGUGUUACGGCUCCCUUUCGGGCACACCCCCAUCUCUGAGGGCUUCCGUACAUGUCAAGGGUAGGUAAGGUUAUUCGCGUUGCAUCGAAUUAAUCCACAUCAUCCACCGCUUGUGCGGGUCCCCGUCAAUUCCUUUGAGUUUUAAUCUUGCGACCGUACUCCCCAGGCGGGAUGCUUAAUGCGUUAGCUGCGCCACUGACCGGUAAACCGGCCAACGGCUAGCAUCCAUCGUUUACGGCGUGGACUAC